rnacentral:rRNA from 1 species
AACGAACGUUGGCGGCGUGGAUAGGCAUGCAAGUCGAGCGAAUCCCAGCAAUGGGGGAAGCGGCGAAAGGGGCAGUAAGGCAUGGGUAACCUACCCUGGGGACUGGGAUAGCCCUUCGAGAGAAGGGGUAAUACCGGGCGAUGUGCCGGGCCGGCAUCGGUCGGUCACCAAAUGAAUUUCGCCCUGGGAGGGGCCCAUGUGAUAUUAGCUAGUUGGUGAGGUAACGGCUCACCAAGGCGAAGAUGUCUAGCGGGUGUGAGAGCACGACCCGCGCCACUGGCACCGAGACACUGGCCAGACACCUACGGGUGGCUGCAGUCGAGGAUCUUCGGCAAUGGGCGCAAGCCUGACCGAGCGACGCCGCGUGUGCGAUGAAGGCCUUCGGGUUGUAAAGCACUGUCGAGAGGGAGAAAAGCGAAAGCUUGAUCUAUCUCUGGAGGAAGCACGGGCUAAGUUCGUGCCAGCAGCCGCAGUAAUAC